AGUGAACGCUGGCGGUAGGCCUAACACAUGCAAGUCGAACGGCAGCACAGGAGAGCUUGCUCUCUGGGUGGCGAGUGGCGGACGGGUGAGGGAUACAUCGGAAUCUACUCUGUCGUGGGGGAUAACGUAGGGAAACUUACGCUAAUACCGCAUACGACCUACGGGUGAAAGCAGGGGACCUUCGGGCCUUGCGCGAUUGAAUGAGCCGAUGUCGGAUUAGCUAGUUGGCGGGGUAAAGGCCCACCAAGGCGACGAUCCGUAGCUGGUCUGAGGGGAUGAUCAGCCACACUGGAACUGAGACACGGUCCAGACUCCUACGGGAGGCAGCAGUGGGGAAUAUUGGACAAUGGGCGCAAGCCUGAUCCAGCCAUACCGCGUGGGUGAAGAAGGCCUUCGGGUUGUAAAGCCCUUUUGUUGGGAAAGAAAUCCAGCUGGCUAAUACCCGGUUGGGAUGACGGUACCCAAAGAAUAAGCACCGGCUAACUUCGUGCCAGCCGCCGCUGUAA
rnacentral:rRNA from 1 species